rnacentral:snRNA from 1 species
GUGCUUGCUUUGGCAGCACACAUACUAAAAUUGGAAUGAUACAGAGAAGAUUAGCAUGGCCCCUGCAAGGGUAACAUGAAGCGUUCCAUAUUUUA